UACGUAGGGUGCGAGCGUUAAUCGGAAUUACUGGGCGUAAAGCGCGCGCAGGCGGUUUCUUAAGUCUGAUGUGAAAGCCCACGGCUCAACCGUGGAGGGUCAUUGGAAACUGGGAGACUUGAGUGCAGAAGAGAAGAGUGGAAUUCCACGUGUAGCGGUGAAAUGCGUAGAGAUGUGGAGGAACACCAGUGGCGAAGGCGACUCUUUGGUCUGUAACUGACGCUGAGGCGCGAAAGCGUGGGGAGCAAACAGG
rnacentral:rRNA from 1 species